rnacentral:rRNA from 1 species
UACGUAGGGUGCGAGCGUUAAUCGGAAUUACUGGGCGUAAAGCGUGCGCAGGCGGUUUUGUAAGCCAGAUGUGAAAUCCCCGGGCUCGACCUGGGAAUGGCAUUUGGGACUGCAAGGCUGGAGUACGGCAGAGGAGACUGGAAUUCCUGGUGUAGCAGUGAAAUGCGUAGAUAUCAGGAGGAAUACCGAUGGCGAAGGCAGGUCUCUGGGCUGAUACUGACGCUCAUGCACGAAAGCGUGGGGAGCAAACAGG